CUCUCUCUCUCUCUCUUUCUCUCUCUAGCUCAUUCUUGCAACUCACCUAAAUAUUUAGUGGCCAUUUUCUCCUGGCUAGCUCCCCAAGUAGCCGCCAGCUCAUUCCUUCCCCCGACAUCGACCUCACACCCACCUCCCGUACCUCCCUCUCUGUCCCAAAAUCACAUAUAAUCACACCCCCAUACACCCUCCCAAUCCUCCAUUCAAUUCCUACCCAAUUCUCUCUCCCUCCCUCUCACCGCAUUAGCAUCAUCAAGCCUCCAUCUUGA
rnacentral:lncRNA from 1 species